CUUUGUUUUCGAUUCCUACAUUUCCUACUAGAUUCUACGAAGCAAGGCGGAAAAAGUGCAAAAUCACAUUUAUGCUUUGAUAGGAGUCACUGUAAACUGUCAGACCCAAUGACUCGAAAAAUACACUUCAUUCGACAUGCACAGACUUCAUUCAAUGUCGUCAGUCAAGCUAUUUACAGAGGCGAAACGCCAGAAGACAAUCUUGAUUCUUACAAAUUUGUGGACACUAAACUGACUGACUUUGGCAAAAAACAGGCCGCUGAAAUCAGAGACAAAAUCAAAGACCUGGGCAUCGAUAUUGCAAUAUGUUCACCAUUUCAAAGAGCUCUACAGACUUGCCUUAUCGCAUAUGGGGGCGAAAAUGUCCUUAUUACUGAUUUAUGUAGGGAACGUAUGAGUGGUGUUUGUGAUAUAGGGACCGCCAAAGACAAGCUUGGGCCAAUGUAUCCUGCACUGGAUUUUUCAGCAGUGGAGACUAACAUUUGGUGGUAUUCUGGUUCUCUUCAGUUCCGGGAUCAAGAGGAGUUUCUGCAGUGGUUUAAGUCUGAUGAAGGAGAGAUUGAAUCAGAGGAGGAUUUGGCUUCAAGGGCUGCUAAAUUUAAUGACUUCCUAAAGACAAGAUCAGAGAAAAGCAUUGCAGUUUUCUCUCAUUCACAUUUCUUGAGAAAAUUUUUAAACUGGCACUUCAAUCGUCCUUUGGAAUAUAUAGAGAAUGGAGAUAUUGUUUCCCUCGAUUUACCAGAUGCCUAAAAGGAACCCCAUCUUUCUUGGACCCUGGUUCAUUCUUCUCCAUAAUUGAUGGCAAGUGCUGGACUUGGGAUACAGGGUGGAGCCAUGAAGUCUGCUGUGUCACAUGGCUGAUGAAAUGAAAAGAUACAAUACUCAGAUUUUGAUGCCAUGAGGGAUUAAAAGAUUACCAAAAAGUAAUAGUACUUUACUUCAACAAUUAUCUGUUUUACUUUGGAAUAGAGUAUAAGGUGGUUUGGUCCCUUAUUGCAAACUCAGAUAGAAGUGUAUUUAUUUCCUGUGAAACAAAGUAUGAUAGGCAAAUAUUGAUAGUCAAGGUAACUGAACAAAGAGCUUGACAGUCAAAGUGCAACAUCUUUUUAAGUAAAAGUCUGACUCACUUGAUAUAAUAUCGGACACCAUCUGGAGUGUAGGCCUCCUCCCAGCCGAAUGGAAGAGCUAUAACAGAUAGAAACGAUUUUAGUUGUGACAAAAUGACUAGUGGGUAAGGCAAAUGUAUAUCCAAAACAGACUUGAUAAGACUUGAAUUCUUUGACACAUUAGACAGAGCGUUUGAUGAUCAAGA